ensembl:lncRNA
GUUGUUUGAUGUCUCCCGAGUGUGUCGGGUUCCUGUCAGCGUUCCAGUCUCGUGCUUCGUAUCGUGUUCCUGUGUUUCUGAGUUCGUUGUCGCCGGAUCUCUCUACCUCUGGGCUCACCAUCAUCCCUCUCCCCGGGGUACAGGCUGACCACCCCGUCCAUGCGCCACCCACCACCAGGAAGAUCUCGGAAGCUUGAGGACUGCAAUUAUUGACUCUGACAUAAUAAACGUUGUUUUCACUCGCAUAUCCGGUGAGCCAUCCUUUUGCAGAGCAUUUCUGACACGAUGUUCAAUGCAUUUUUUUCCCUCCAGCCCAGAACAUUUUCCACUGAGCGAGCAUGUUCCUGCAUGGGCCGGCUGACCGGGUCGAGAAGGAGAUCUGGACCUUCCCACAACCCUGAACGACCUAAUUGGACUGGCACUUCGGGUGGAUGCACGACUAUCCAGUCGCGCAGUGUUCUGGGCCCAGCCGGAUUCCUGUGGAGGAGAGGAUCGGCGGUUCAGCGGCGGGGACACGGUCCGUUCCGGCUACGAUCACGAGCCUAUGCAGGUCCUGAGAACCUGGCUUUCCCGGAAGGAGAGGCGGCGGUCCCAAGGCCUUUGCUUGUACUGCGGCGCAGCGGGACAUUACGCGUACAACUGCCUGGUAAAAGGCCAAGCCCGGCAGUAAGUUUGAGGCUACCGUCGGGUGGGAUCUCCGCUGAGAAGACCUCAUCAAAUUCUACGUUCCUUCCGGUAAGACUGAGAUGGUCAAGCCACACGCACGACUGUCAAGCCCUGGUGGAUUCCAGAGGGUAGUUUUCUGGACCAUGCCCUUGCACUCAAGCUUAAUAUUCCCCUUCUACCCCUCACCCACAAGAUAUCGGUUCACGCACUAAACGGUCAAGACCUACCCAACAUUUUGCUCACCACCGGACCCAUGACACUCAUCACCUCAGGCAACCACUCCGAGACCCUUUCCUUUUAUGUCCUGGACUCUCCGCUCGCUCGCUCCCGUAGUUCUGGGACAUCCCUGGCUCACCCAACAUAACCCCAAGAUGGCAGCAGAAGUCGGUGUCUGAGUGGAGCGGUAGAUGUCAUGAGUCCUGUCUGGUAUCUGCCUGUCCGUCUGUUUCUGUCUCUGUGUUCCAGGAGGAGGCGGUGGACUUGUCUAACGUGCCCGCGGAGUACCUCGGUCUAAGGGAGGUGUUCAGAUGAAAACUGCUACCAGCGCAUCAUGCGGUGGUCACUUUACCUACAAGGGUUCGAAAUUCUUUUUAAGAAGGGGUGUGCUAACAUUCUGGCGGACUCUGUCGCGCACACGUCAAUAAGGCAGCCCAGCAGACGACUUAAUUGAGGAUCCAUCUUGAUUGGGUGCACCAUCAGAGCCGGCCCCUUUAAAACACAUCCGGGGGGGAUCGGGAGAGGAAAAGAAGCAUGUGGCUGGUUUGGCUGCCACCAUGUUCAAGAACAAUAAAUUAUUUACUAUUGGCUGUUCUUGUUAUGUUCCCUGCUAGGGUCCGGCAACAUAACGUCUCUUUCAGGCUCCUGAUGGCGUGGUCCUUGCCAGUGGAACUGAAUGUGUGAGCCAUGUUGUUAUUUUGAAGGGACAAACUCGCCAUGCAAAUGUCAUCCACCACGCCAAUACUUUUGUAUAAUUCCACUGUGGGUUUCUACAGUAAUGGCCCAUGAUCAAAUAGACCAGUUGUUAUAAUUGCUGGCCAGCACAUUAUGUGUUUUCUCAACAUUACACAGCGCGCCCCAAAAUUCCUAAAGUGAAACUGUGUCGCCGUCUUUUUAAAAAGGUGUUCUUGUUUGUUGUGAAUUAUUAUACAAAUGUAGCAAAGAAUGCCAUCUGGUCAGAAAAAGAAACCCUCUUGAUUUAAUAAAGAUGGGAUUAUCACUGAUUCA